UUAUUUCAAAUCACUGCAUUCAGAUAUAUCAUAAAAUUUUAUUGAAUUUACUUAUACGAAAUAUGUUCCUGAAAAAUAAGCAAAAGUAGAAGUUGUUCAGCACACACAUGCCAACUUGAGUUUAAGUUCAUCGUUUGGAAUUGCAAAAUUAAGCUACUAAAUUAAAUGCGAGAGGUGCUUGAACCUCCAAUCUAGAAGGCAUUUCUUCGCCCCUGUUUUUACCUUUCCUUGACAUAAGAGCUCUUGAUCUUUACCAAUUCACUUAUUACAUCUCUCAUUUUCAUUCUUUCUCCUGGUUGUUCCAUUGAACAUGCAACUCCAAUUUCAAGCAUUGAAACUAGGCAUUGUCUCAGAUUUGUUGUAACCUGGCUCAAGUUCUCAUGGUGAUUGGUUUCUUCUGCUUCCACGGUGGCAUCAUCAUCACAUUCUUCAUUUGCUAUUUCUUUAGGGAGAAGGAUUGGAUCCACAAUUUGUAAAAGUCUUUUUGGCAAUGCUGCCUUUACAAAAUUAUGGAGAUUUAUUCCCUCUUUAAACAUUUCAUCAGUUGGUCUUCUUUUGGAGAACAUCUCUAACACAAGAAUCCCAUAGCUAUAAACAUCUCCUUCUUUCGAUGCUAUACCACUCAUUCCAUAUUCUGGAGCAAUAUAACCAACGGUUCCUUUGAUUCUAGAUGUGCUGGUUUGACUCACAGAUGAAUUGCUGUUGAUUGAGAAGAGUUUUGCUAGACCAAAAUCACUUACAUGAGCAACCAUGUCAUCAUCAAGAAGAACAUUGCUGGGUUUCAGGUCACAAUGAAUGAUAGGCUUUCCACAGAGGUCAUGUAGAUAAUGCAAUGCUGAUGCUACAUCAAUGGCGAUAUUAAGCCUUUGAAGAAGGUUCAAGCUUCUUUUCUGAUUUUCACCUUCUUCACAUGGAUGCAGCCACUUUUCUAGGCUUCCAUUCCCCAUAUAUUCAAAAAUUAAAGCUUUGAAUGCAUUUGAUUUGUAAUCUAAGCUGGAGCAACAUGUUACAAGCUUGACAAGAUUUCGAUGCCUUAUGUUCCCCAACGAAUUGCAUUCAGCAAUGAAGCUCUUAAUGGCACCCGUUUGCUCGAGGUUGAGGACCUUGACAGCUACUGGUCUUUCGACUUGAGGUAGAAAUCCUUUAUAUACGGAGCUAAAGCCACCUGAACCAAUUAAAUUGCUAGAAGAGAAUCCAUCCGUUCCUUGAUAAAGGUCUUUAUAAGAUACCUUUAGAAGGUGGUUCAUUUCUAAGGAUGCAGAAGAAGGCUUGCUUCUUGAUUUUCUCAUCCAGCGAAUAAGGAAAAAGAUCAGAAUCGAAAGCACAGUUGGAACCACACAAGCAAUUGCAACCACUAGCUUAAGAGUAUGGGCUUUCACUUUCUUCAAGAUUCUGGUGGGGCAUUUUGGCAAGCCAAGUUCUGGGAUACCACCGCAAAGCUUGUUAUUCCCAAUCAGUGAUAAUGCACUGACAUUAGUAAAUACUCCUCUUUCUGGUACCUCUCCCUCAAGAUCAUUGAACGAAAGAUUCAAGUAUUGGAGAUAAGGUAUUUCUUGGAGAUCUUUUGGAAUUUGUCCUGACAAUUUGUUUCGUGAAAGAUCUAAAUAUUGAAGGCCCUCAAGGGAAGCUAAAGAUGAAGGGAUGGUUCCUUGGAAAAAAUUUCCUUGCAUAUAAAGAUAUUCUAAGCUCGAGCAACCUCCAAUGGUUCCAGGAAUUUCACCUGAAAGAUUGUUUUCUGAGAUAUCUAGUGUAUUUACAUUUUUAAGCUUUCCCACUUCUGCUGGUAAGUGCCCAGUGAAAGAGUUAAAAGAUAAGUUUAGUAUUUUUGAUAAAGAAGUAAGACCUAAAACUUCCUUAGGUAACUCUCCGCUGAGUCUAUUUUCUGCAAUAUAUAAAGCAUAUAAAUGUUGGCAAUUUCUAAUUCUUGAAGGAAUGCUUCCUUCCAAUUUGUUUCCAGACAGCAAUACACGAGAUAAUUGAGUGAGGUUACCAAUGGAGGAUGGAAUUCGACCUGACAAUUGAUUGUAGCCUAAAAGUAAUGAUUGUAGCUUUUGAAGCUUUCCAAACUGAGAAGGGAUGAAACCUGUGAAAAGGUUUUCAUUCAUAUGCAAUGCAAUUAAGUUGACAAGAUUCUCCAUUGCCGCAGGAAUAAUUCCAGUGAUUUCAUUUCCUCCCAUAUAUAAUCUAAUGAGCCCAGUUGAAAAAUUGGCUACAGAGUCUGUUAAGACACCUCCAAAAUUGUUCCAAUAGAUAGACAAAGUUUCCAGAUUACUACAGUUCGUCAAGGAGGUCAAGAAAAGCAAGUCACUAGAUGAGUUACUUCCAAGAUUAUUGAGCUCGAAGUUCAGCAAUGAGAGACUCUGUAAAUUUCCAAGAUUGGAGGGAACUUGUCCCACAAAAUUGUUAUCAGAGAUAUCAAAUGCUUCAAGAUGGGAUGCAUUGGACAACGAAUUUGGGACUGGGCCAGAGAAAUAGUUUUCGCCGAAUGCAAAAGUUUGAAGAUUUGGGAGAGUGAAGCAAAUGUUGUCAGGUAGACUCCCAUUAAGUUGGUUGGAUGCAACCCCCAGAGUACUCAAAGAUGUGAUGUUGAAAAGAGAUGGAGAGAUUAUACCUGAUAAUCUAUUACCUCCAACGAUGACAUGCUUCAAGCUUUUUAAUUGACCCAUUUCGUUUGGAAUACUUCCCUCUAAAUUAUUAUUCAAGGCAGAAAAUAUUGUAAGUGAUGAAAGGUUGCUUAGAGAACGUGGAAUUUCUCCAGUCAGAUAGUUAUAACGAAGUUCAAUAAUCUCUAGCUUCAUCAGAGAGCCAAGUUCUGCUGGAAUUUUUCCAGUGAGAUUAUUCGACUGUAAAUAUAUCAUCUUGAGUUGGGAGCAGCGACUCAAAUUGAGUGGAAUUUCACCUU
rnacentral:misc_RNA from 1 species